rnacentral:rRNA from 1 species
GAGCCGAAGAAGGACGGCACUAACACCGAUAUGCUUCGGGGAGCUGUAAGUGAGCUUUGAUCCGGAGAUUUCCGAAUGGGGGAACCCACUACGUUUAAUCGCGUAGUAUCUUGACGUGAAUACAUAGCGUCUUGAAGGCAGACCCAGGGAACUGAAACAUCUAAGUACCUGGAGGAAGAGAAAGAAAAAUCGAUUCCCUGAGUAGCGGCGAGCGAAACGGGAAGAGCCCAAACCAAGAGGCUUGCCUCUUGGGGUUGUAGGACACUCAAUACGGAGUUACAAAAGAGCGAGUUAGAUGAAGCGACUUGGAAAGGUCCGCCAGAGCAGGUAAAAGCCCUGUAGUCGAAAGUUCGUUCUCUCCUGAGUGGAUCCUGAGUACGGCGGAACACGUGAAAUUCCGUCGGAAUCCGGGAGG